AAACUAUGGUGAGGGAAACUCCUAAGUGUUUCCUUAAAUCUCCCCCAACUUUCAUAAAUAUGCUAUCCUUCAAAUUGACCAAAAGAUGUGAUUUUACUCCUAAGUUU